GCCGGAGUGGCGGAACAGGCAGACGCCCGGGACUUAAAAUCCCGUGGGAGCAUAUCCCGUACCGGUUCGAGCCCGGUCUCCGGCA
rnacentral:tRNA from 1 species